rnacentral:rRNA from 1 species
CACGUAGGGGACGAGCGUUGUCCGGAUUCAUUGGGCGUAAAGCGCGCGUAGGCGGCUCGGAAAGUCGGGCGUGAAAUGCCGGGGCUCAACCCCGGGACUGCGUCCGAUACUUCCGAGCUUGAGGUAGGUAGGGGAGAUCGGAAUUCCUGGUGUAGCGGUGAAAUGCGCAGAUAUCAGGAGGAACACCAGCGGCGAAGGCGGCGCUCUGGGCCGGAACUGACGCUGAGGAGCGAAAGCGUGGGUAGCAAACAGG